rnacentral:lncRNA from 1 species
UUAAAUCAAAGUGUGUGAAUGUUCUUGCAAGUUGAGGUCUCAGAAAUUAGAAUUUGAGGGUCAAUGAAUAUUUUUAAGAUCUUUACCAAUUUUUUAAUUGGAUUGAAAUGAAAUUUUUUUGUAUAGAGAUUAGACUUGAUUUUCCAUAGUUUAAGUGUAUUUUUGAGGCAAUUCAAUGAUUCAAGAAGGAGAUAUUAGAAGUUUAAAAUUUAGAUUGGAGUAGGAGGGUCGCCAACACUUGAGUGGAAUUUAGGUUUGAUCCUCUAUUUGGUAAGUUCGAUCUUUUUCAAAUUUUGUGUACUUUUUGCCAACUUAGUUGUUGAAAAGUGUGUAAAAUCUUAAGCAAGAUCAAUGGUAUAAUCGAUAGAUAUUAAGGUUUUAAACUACCCUAGGAUUUGGUUAAUUUGAUUAGGAUUUGGUUUAGGAUUUAGGAAUUGGUUAGGAUUUAGGAUUUAUUUAGGAUUUAGUUAGGAUUUGACUUAGGAUUUAAGUAAAGACUACUAGGAUUUUAACUAGAAUUAAAUUAAGAUUUGGUUGGAAUUUAUUUAAGAUAUAUUUUAGAUUUUAUUUUAAUACUUCUUUUGAAUUUUUUAAAGAUUUCUUCAUGCUUCUUUUGUAAUUUAUUUGAGGUUUCUUUAGAUUUAAUUAAAGCUUGAUUAGCAUUUUUAAGAUUUAAUUGUAGUUAUUUAGGAUUCUAUUAGAAUUAAAAUCUUGUUGUUGCAAUAUUUCUUCUACCUUCCAUAGCCAAAAGCUUGGUAUAUUUUCAAGUAAGGCAUCACAUAAUACAACAAUGUAUCUUAUAAAUUGGACAUAUAUUGGAGGUGCUAUAAAACAUCACUAUGUAGCUUCUAGUUAGAUAGUAUAUAUGGAGGCAAGACUGAAGCCCUCUUCACUCUUAUCAAUUCUUUUCUAGUUGUUAGUCUUAUUUCAAGACUUUCUAGUCUUCUUGUCUUUACUAAUUGCCAUUCUAGUUCAACAUAUUAUCAACUUUGAGUAAUUUUUAAGUUUUUUUAAGUGACAUAAGAGUGUAUUGAGAUUUUUUUUUU